UCACCUUUGGUAGUUUUAUCCGAGUUGAAAACUGUCAGAUUUGAGUUGACUUUUGAGGCACUUUUUACUCAGUUGUUCUAUGGAAACGGUUCAAGACAAAUAAAACGCUAACCAAACGUUAUUCUGUCCAGAGUAACGUUAUCCAUGUAAGUAAUUUACCAGAUGAUAUCAAUUGACUACAUUAAUAAUGACAUUGCGUAUGAAACAAACUGUCUGCUUAAUCAGAUGAACAGACCCGCGUCAGUUAUUCGUGACUUCACUACGCCACGAGCAACACUUGAUUCUAUUAGAAAAUGCUUUUUUAAAUGUCUCGCGUGACGUCUGGUAUAUUAACUGAAAAAAAAAUCGCUUUGAAGUGACCACACCUUAAAGCUGACGUUUUCAGAAGAGAACCUUGUUUUAAGAUCUCAUUUUGUCCAAAAUUGCGUCCUAUGACAGAUAUAAUACUUAUUUCAUUAUUGCUCUGUGUAUGUGUGACCUUAAUCAUUUGAGGUUGUGUGUUGAUUUCACCUCUGAAUAUUUCCUCUUAUAGGUCCAUCAUCCUUUCAUGCACUCACUACACACUCAAAAGCAUUGAUAAAUGCUGAAUUUAAAAGAAUCACUACUGUCUAAUGUUCCUGCGUGUCACCUGGACCUCCAAUCCAAAAACCUGACGAAACUCUUCUAUCAGAAAGGAGGACAGCUAGCAAAAAGACUUCAAACAAUGAAUGAUCAAAUGACAGAAGGCAUGGAUGAAGUCAGCAUCAGUGUGGUCAUUUGAAGACACCACUGUUGGGAUUUGUGCUCUCAAACAACAUGCUUCUUGUGAUGAAGAAGAGGAUCUUUGUAUAGUCCUGGAAGGCAUGAAGGUGUUGCAACAUCGUGCCAUGUUGUUUGAGCUGAUAUAUGCCUUUAACCUGAACUAUCCUGAUCUCAGCUUUAUUUUUGAGGAAAUCCAAAAGAUUUUAAUGGAACUGCAUUGAGCGUAACUUUAACGAACAGUUUCUUUCAGUGAAAGGAUCAGAAAGACUGCUGCUCAUUUAUGUUCUGUUUAUCUGUUUUAAGUGUUUUCUCUUAUUAAAACAUUAACAGU